UCACAUGAGAUCUCCGCUGUCGCCUUCGGUUCGUUUACGCGGGUAGCGGUGCGGUAGGUGAGUUUUAGAGACAGGAAAAAAGAAGGGGGGAGAAAGAAGAGGAGGCGAAGCAGCGGUCGCGGUGGGUGAGGUCAGGAAUCGAUGGCGCAGGGACAGGGUGCGAUGCCGACGCCGUCACCGACUCCGGCGACGAAUCCGCCGCAGGCGGAUGUCCCUCCUGCGGCUGUGGGGCGGCAGCAGCAGGGUUACGCGGUGGAGUUGUACUUCGACCCGGCGCUGGAGAACCAAGUGCUGAAGGCGUGGAACGUGCUCGCCCGCCGGCAGAUCAGCACGCAGCUCAUCGAGAUGGCCGCCCGCCCCCACCUCACCCUCCUCUCUGUCCCCACCCUCGAUCCCCUUCGCCUCCACGCCGCCCUCCGCUCCCUCGCCGCCCGCCUCGAUCCCCUCCCCCUCACCCUCUCCUCCGUCGGUGCCUUCCCUUCCUCCUCCUCCUCUUCCUCCUCUGACGCAGGCGUUCUCUUCCUCGCCCCCACGCCCUCGGCUGCCCUCCUGCACCUCCACUCCCAGCUCUGCGAGACCCUCCGCAAGGAAGGCGUUGAGGCUCCGGAGGAGUUCCGCCCCGAUUCCUGGGUGCCUCAUUGCUCCGUCGCCCAGGACGUUCCCCGGAGCAGGAUCGCAGACGCCUUCUGCAUUCUCCGGGAUCUCAAGCUGCCCGUGUCAGGGUACGUCAUGGACAUCGGCCUUGUGGAGUUCUCGCCCGUGCAGGAGAUCGUCUCCUUCCCCCUCGGGAGUGGUUCGGAAGCUUGAGGUGUGUUUGUUCAAAAUUUUGGGAUUAUGUGCAAGAAUGUGUUUCAAAAGGAGUUUGGUAUGUUGUAUUCAGUUAAUGGGAUAGUCUUUCUCUGAGUUGGCACCCUAGGUAUCAUAUAGCAAAAAAAAGGUUUCUCCUUUAGAUGGCGUCAACUAUUUGUCAUGGAAGUGCUGAAAGGAUAUCAAAUUCGCUGUUUAAUAUGGCGCGGUUUUUUCAGCGAUACUGACUUCUAUUUAUUCAAGGCCAUGAAAAGAGAUGUAUGUGUGUGUAAUGUUCUUGGAGUUUUGAAGCAAGAUAUUACAGAUUACUAUUUGUUUCUGCUUCUGGAAGUAUGAACUGUUAGUCUUAGCUAGGUUUUCUGUGGACCGGAAUCUUAACCUUUUUGUCUUUUCAUUUAUGAAGAUGUUUCAGUAUACUGGCAAAAGAAAUCCAUUUUAGAUUUAUGUUUCA